rnacentral:rRNA from 1 species
GACGAACGCUGGCGGCGUGCUUAAUACAUGCAAGUCAACUGAACUUAAGAUAGCAAUAUUUUAAGGGAGGUGGCGCACGGGUGAGUAACACGUAGGUAAUCUGCCUUUAGGUCUGACACAACCCCGAGAAAUCGGGGCUAAUAUCAGAUGAUGCAGCGGCUCGGCAUCGAGACAGUUGUUAAACCUUCGGGGCCUAAAGAUGAGCCUGCGUCUGAUUAGCUGGUUGGCGGGGUAACGGCCCACCAAGGCAACGAUCAGUAGCUGGUCUGAGAGGAUGAUCAGCCACACUGGAACUGAGACACGGUCCAGACUCCUACGGGAGGCAGCAGUAAGGAAUAUUGCUCAAUGGCCGAAAGGCUGAAGCAGCAACGCCGCGUGGAGGAUGAAAUACUUUUGUAUGUAAACUCCUGUGAGAAGGGAAAAAUAUGCAGAUUUUCUGCGUUGAUUGUACCUUCAGAGGAAGCCCCGGCUAACUACGUGCCAGCAGCC